rnacentral:lncRNA from 10 species
GAAUGCUAAUCUUUGUCUCUCCAUGAUUCCCACAUAGCCUGGGUCCUGGAUAGGAUUUAGAUUCCACAGAUACUCUCACAGUGCCAUUUGGCUGUAGAAAAGAACUAAAUGUGAAGAAAAGCAGGAUAUAAAACAUUUAUUUGCUGGCAUGUAUAGAAAUAUAACUGGUGUCAUUCUGCUGUCAGCAUGUCAGAAGAUUUUAGACUUUUCUGCAGUGGUUAUGAAAGCUUUAACCAUGUUACAGGGGCAGACUGAUACUGGAGUUUGAAAGCUACUCUUGGAGACAUGGGCUGCCUACUAUUUUGGCCUUCCAACAAUUUUAUAAGAAACUCAAUAGAUAACGAUAAAUACCUUCAAGCUUAAAAUCGCGAUUAUGAUUUCUGCUGUGCGCAAUGAAACUCUGAGUGAAACAGGCCUCCAGGAUUUUGAAGUCCUCUGCAUCCGGGCAGUGGAACAGAAGUGUGGAGAAGAUUCAUCAUCUGCUUCUUAAAUGCCCUAGUCAGAAAGGGGUACUCAUCAUUUCUGUUCAUAUUUUAUACGGCUACAAAUAGAUGUGAGAAGAGCAAGAAAACAUAGUCCUGGCAAGGCAGUUGCCUUCUGAUGACAACUCUGCACUCUGGAGGUAGACAAAUUUUGGUCAAUAGCUGGCAGUUUUAGCCAUAUUAGUCCAGUACUCACCUUCACAAAUGAGGAAACUUAAGACUCGGCCAUUGUUGAUCUAACACAUACUUACUGUUUUUUAUUGUGUUUUCUUGAUCUAAUGGUAUUUUGAAACACAAUGGGUAGGACUAAAAUAUGGACCAUUUGAAAGGAGGAAAUGUUAGAUUAUUAUACUAGGCAAAUAAUGUUGCCAAUAUAUUUGCACAAUUAUGGGACAUAGACUUUCAUUUUCCUGUUUAAAAUAAGUAUGUAGUAUUAAAGAAUUAACAUAAAAUAUGGCAUUAUUAAGAAGAUCUAUGAUUUUGGUGCCUGGUCCUUAUUUAGGAGUUUAGCACCCUGGUUACAUAUAUCAUAAUAAUGAAAAAGCAUUAUUCUGUUUUAUGCUGCCUGCAGAAAAAAAAAGGAUGAAAAAUAGAUACUGUCUGUGCAGUAUGAGCCACAGUAUAAAUGUGCAGAAUAUGAUCUAAGUGGAGGAUAAUAAAAAUUUUGAAAGCAGUAUUUGCAAAACUUGUUCCAAACUUCCUCAUUAAUCAGCACAAAUAUUUUUCUAAGUAUACAUUGGAAGGCCUUUGCACUUAACUCAAUUAUUGAAGUAGUAGGAAAAUUAUGCUCUACUGUGUAUAAAAUAUUUCUAAGCUAUUCAAAGAAGACACUACAAAGAUAUUUAAAGAAGAUACUAUAAUAUAGAAAAACACUUCAUGCAGAUGUAUCAAUUAUUAGUAUCUCAUCACUGUAUGGCGUUCUUAACUAAGUUGAAAUUGUUUUCAAAUACUGGUUGAAUAAGUGAAGAAGGAAAAUUGUAUUGUGUUAACAGAAAUAUGUGUUCAUUCACCCACCCACUGAACACCUAUUUUGUGCCAGACGUUGUUCUGGACACUAGGGAUCCAGCAGGGAAUAAAAUACAUGAGUUUCCCACUAUAUGGUGCAUAAUUGGAAAUGGAGCAUGAUGGGGAGAAGUAUGAACCAGAGACUUUUGGAAGAAGUCUGAAUUCUGUGUGCUUUAUAUACAUUUCUCAUGAAG